AUUGAACGCUGGCGGCAGGCCUAACACAUGCAAGUCGAACGAGUGGCGGACGGGUGAUUAAUGUCUGGGCAACUGCCUGAUGGAGGGGGAUAACUACUGGAAACGGUAGCUGAUACCGCAUACCAUCGGAUGUGCCCAGAUGGGAUUAGCUAGUAGGUGGGGUAACGGCUCACCUAGGCGCCGAUCCCUAGCUGGUCUGAGAGGAGGACCAGCCACACUGGAACUUGGAAACGGUCCAGACUCCUACGGUAGGCAGCAGUGGGGAAUAUUGCACAAUGGGCGCAAGCCUGAUGAAGCCAGGCCGCGUGUAUGAAGAAGGCCUUCGGGUUGUAAAGUACUUUCAGCGGGGAGGCGUUACCCGCAGAAGAAGCACCGGCUAACUCCGUGCCAGCAGCCGCGGUAAUAC
rnacentral:rRNA from 1 species